UGACAGCCUGCUAGCUGUGACGGACUCAAAUUGUCAUUUUUUGCAGACAUUUUUAUAGUUCUCUAUAACAAGGGGACCACAGAGGAGGAUUUCUGUAAUGUUUUAGCUUUUCUUUCACACACUUGCUGAAACCUUAACCUUUUAUAGUUGAAAAAUGGAUCAGUAUUCAAAGAGGAGUCCAUUUAAAUAUCUGGGUUUACGUCUCCUGGAUACUAAUUGGGUGAAAACUUUAAAGAAAAAAAAAGAAACAUCAGUUUGAACAACUCAACUGCUUAAUAUUUAUCUGCAUGUAAUGACACACAGAGAGCCAGGGAGAUCCACUGGCAUGAAGGCUGACAUUAAACUCAGGUGUCCUCCAUUUCUCUUGAUCAUCUCUGCAGUGUCUCUGUGCCUUGAUUGGAGAAGCUGCAUCUGUGGCAAAUCUAACUGAUUAGGCCUAAUUUGAAAAGACACACACCUGCAGCUGAGUCUCAUUGCUGACAGCCUAAAUCAGAGCAGCAAGGAAGUGCUUUUUUUUUUUUUCCACAGAUGCUGUGACUGUGUUUCCCAGUCUUUUUUUUUUUUUUUUUUUUUACCUGGGUGAUUAUUAAAGAAGUUUGUUUAAUUAGGAAUGUGUGUUAAAUAGUCACAGGGCUGCUCCACAAGAAUGAACUGAUCUGACAGGACUAAGGUUCACCUUCUCUAAUAUCCUGGGUUUUGGAGUGUUGACAGAAUCCCAUCAACACUUGGCUGAGAGGUCACCAAUCGUGAUUUGGAAUGAGCUGCCAAGGAUCAAGGAUGUGGAGACGUUGAUGUCAGCAACAUAAUUGGCUACUUUACUCUGAUGCUGAUCCAGAAGACAGACACGUGUGAAGAAAUGUCCAUGUCAUUGGGCGACCAGUCGAUGACCUCCUUAUCAUUGUGCACUGCGUCAAGGAUGAUACUGCAAUUAGAAGACACCAAGUUGGCAUUAAGCAAUCCCCUUAGCAGCAGGAGAGGUCUGCAUGACCCCCGAGGGCCAUCCCGGCCAACGAACCCUUCAUGAGGGAGAGACUGCGGCACAGAGAGGCCAUAAUGAUGGUCAUGUUAAAAAAGAAAAAAGAAGGGAAAAGUACAGGCUCUCACCAAAAAAACUUCACCAUGAAGCUAAAACCAUCUCCAAAGAGCACAAAUCACUGGAAUACAUUCAGCGCAUGACAAGGUUUUGCAGAGAUUUUUUGUUCCCAAAGAAGUAAAAGAGCUUUUUUUUCAACAAUUUUUGUAUACCUUCCACAUCAGUGCCCUGGGAAUAUGUGAGAAAACAUUUACUCCGUACAACAAAAGCAGACACGUUAUUGAUGGGUUUUUUGCAACGGUAUUCUGGAAAGUAUAAACGCGUAACAAAGGAAACAAACGCCUGCCAUCAAACUGUCAUUCUCAACACGCAUUCUGUGCAUUCUUGUUUUCAGUGAGCAACUGACUUUUGUUUAACCGGUGAAAAUUGUUUGGAGAUUUAAGGCGUGUCCUUUUAGUACUUUCUUUCUCAAAAUUUUGAAGAGACUUCUGUACAGAUGUCAAUAAUUAAUUAAUUAAAAAAAAAAAAGCAUUGAGUAAAAUAUUUCAAGGCAGCACAUGUAUUUGAAGUUAAAUAGCUGUGGUAUUUUUUAGGAGCAUCAGACAGCUGUUUUAUUUUGUGUUAAAGUAUUAUGUGUAGGGCUCUACAUAUGUCACUCAAAUGCUGAGGAGUGUGCUAUCAGGUUUGGAUGUGGAUGUGUUCCUUGUGAUCUACAUGACUGAGGAUAUGAUUCAUAGUCUGAUGAUUUUUGACCACACAACUGCCAUAGAUGACUGAAUUGUUGCCCCCAAGUCCAUUAGGUAUUUUCUUCGAAUUACAUAUUUUUCUGUCAAAACAAAAGACUCUUACCAAAGCCAUCAGU